GGGCGAGUGGCGAAACUGGCAUACGCGCUGGAUUUAGGUUCCAGUGGGGCAACCCGUGGGGGUUCGACUCCCCCCUCGCCCACCA
rnacentral:tRNA from 2 species